GACGAACGCUGGCGGCGUGCUUAACACAUGCAAGUCGAACGGGCCUUGUCCCCUUUUUUUUGGGGGUGGGGUUAGUGGCGAACGGGCGAGUAACACGUGAGUAACCUGCCCCUCACUUCUGGAUAACCGCUUGAAAGGGUGGCUAAUACGGGGUGUUCUGGCCUGCUCGCAUGGGUGGGUUUGGAAAGAUUCGACCGGUUUUGGUUGUUUUGGUGGGGGAUGGGCUCGCGGCCUAUCAGCUUGUUGGUGGGGUGAUGGCCUGCCAAGGCUUUGACGGGUAGCCGGCCUGAGAGGGUGGGCGGUCACACUGGGACUGAGACACGGCCCAGACUCCUACGGGAGGCAGCAGUGGGGAAUAUUGCACAAUGGGCGCAAGCCUGAUGCAGCGACGCCGCGUGAGGGAUGGAGGCCUUCGGGUUGUGAACCUCUUUCGCCAGUGAAGAAGGUCCUGCUCUUUGUGGUGGGGUUGACGGUAGCUGGGUUAAUGAAGCGCCGGCUAACUACGUG
rnacentral:rRNA from 1 species